rnacentral:rRNA from 1 species
GACGAACGCUGGCGGCGUGCUUAACACAUGCAAGUCGAGCGGCAAGGCCCUUUCGGGGGUACGACGAGCGGCGAACGGGUGAGUAACACGUGGGUGACCUGCCCUCAGCUCUGGGAUAAGCCUGGGAAACCGGGUCUAUACUGGAUAUGACUCCAUGACGCAUGUUGUGGGGUGGAAAGCCUUGUGCGGCUGAGGAUGGGCCCGCGGCCUAUCAGCUUGUUGGUGGGGUGAUGGCCUACCAAGGCGACGACGGGUAGCCGGCCUGAGAGGGCGACCGGCCACACUGGGACUGAGACACGGCCCAGACUCCUACGGGAGGGCAGCAGUGGGGAAUCUUGCGCAAUGGGCGAAAGCCUGACGCAGCGACGCCGCGUGAGGGAUGACGGCCU